GACGAACGCUGGCGGCAUGCCUAACACAUGCAAGUCUAGGGGUAGCAAUACCACUGGCGCACGGGUGAGUAACACGUAGGUUAUCUGCCCCCAUCACAGACAUAACCCCGGGAAACCGGGGCUAAUAUCUGAUGAGGUCGCGAGAUCAAAGCUUCGGCGGAUGGGGAUGAGCCUACGUCUGAUUAGCUAGUUGGUAGGGUAAAGGCCUACCAAGGCGACGAUCAGUAACUGGUCUGAGAGGAUGAUCAGUCACACCGGAACUGAGACACGGUCCGGACUCCUACGGGAGGCAGCAGUGGGGAAUAUUGGACAAUGGGCGCAAGCCUGAUCCAGCAAUGCCGCGUGUGUGAAGAAGGCCUUCGGGUUGUAAAGCACUUUAGCCUGGAAAGAAAAAACUUUGGUUAACACCCAAAGUCUUGACGGUACCAGGAGAAUAAGCACCGGCUAACUCUGUGCCAGCCGCCGCCGUAAAAC
rnacentral:rRNA from 1 species